GAUGAACGCUGGCGGCGUGCUUAACACAUGCAAGUCGAACGAUGAAGCCCAGCUUGCUGGGUGGUUUAGUGGCGAACGGGUGAGUAACACUUGAGUAACCUGCCCUUAACUCUGGGAUAAGCCUGGGAAACUGGGCCUAAUACCGGCUAGGAGCGUCCACCGCAUGGUGGGUGUUGGAAAUUCUUAUCGGAUUUGGAUGGACUCGCGGCCUAUCAGCUUGUUGGUGAGGUAAUGGCUCAGCAAGGCGACGCCGGGUAGACGGCCUGAGAGGGUGACCGGCCACACGGGGACAGAGACACGGCACGGAGCCGUACGGGAGACAGAAGUGGGGAAGAAUGCACAAUGGGCGAAAGCAGGAUGCAGGAAGGCCGCGUGAGGGAUGACGGCCUUCUGGUUGUAAACCUCUUUCAGUAGGGAAGAAGCGAAAGUGACGGUACCUGCAGAAGAAGCACCGGCUAACUACGUG
rnacentral:rRNA from 1 species